rfam:Capsicum annuum cultivar Zunla-1 chromosome 11, whole genome shotgun sequence
GGAUGAUGACAUGGACAAUUCAAAAGAAUAGCUUUGAAACUCUUGUAUGCAUAGUAAAAGUUCUCAUCUUGCUUCUGUUUGAAGCACACAAUCUCAUUUCUUAGUCU